AGUGAACGCUGGCGGUAGGCCUAACACAUGCAAGUCGAACGGCAGCACAGUAAGAGCUUGCUCUUACGGGUGGCGAGUGGCGGACGGGUGAGGAAUACAUCGGAAUCUACUUUUUCGUGGGGGAUAACGUAGGGAAACUUACGCUAAUACCGCAUACGACCUACGGGUGAAAGCAGGGGAUCUUCGGACCUUGCGCGAUUGAAUGAGCCGAUGUCGGAUUAGCUAGUUGGCGGGUUAAAGGCCCACCAAGGCGACGAUCGGUAGCUGGUCUGAGAGGAUGAUAGGCCACACUGGAACUGAGACACGGUCCAGACUCCUACGGGAGGCAGCAGUGGGGAAUAUUGGACAAUGGGCGCAAGCCUGAUCCAGCCAUACCGCGUGGGUGAAGAAGGCCUUCGGGUUGUAAAGCCCUUUUGUUGGGAAAGAAAAGCAGCAGGUUAAUACCCCGCUGUUCUGACGGUACCCAAAGAAUAAGCACCGGCUAACUUCGUG
rnacentral:rRNA from 1 species